CCUACGGGAGGCAGCAGUAGGGAAUCUUCCACAAUGGGCGAAAGCCUGAUGGAGCAACGCCGCGUGAGUGAUGAAGGCCUUCGGGUUGUAAAACUCUGUCAUUCGGGACGAACCGGAGUCUGAGGAAAUGCAGACUCUCUGACGGUACCGGAGGAGGAAGCCCCGGCUAACUACGUGCCAGCAGCCGCGGUAAUACGUAGGGGGCAAGCGUUGUCCGGAUUCACUGGGCGUAAAGCGCGCGCAGGCGGUGAUGUAAGUCUGAGGUGAAAACCCGAAGCUCAACUUCGGGACUGCCUUGGAUACUGCGUCACUUGAGGAUAGGAGAGGCAAGGGGAAUUCCACGUGUAGCGGUGAAAUGCGUAGAGAUGUGGAGGAACACCGUGUGGCGAAGGCGCCUUGCUGGCCUAUUUCUGACGCUGAGGCGCGAAAGCGUGGGGAGCAAAACAGGUAUUAGACUACCCGUGGUAGUCCACGCUAGUAAACGAUGAGUGCUAGGUGUAGGUGGGUCGUCUACUACCACUCUGUGCCGACGACGUAACG
rnacentral:rRNA from 1 species